GCCAUCGUAGCCCAAUGGUAGGGCGUCGCUUUCCUAUCUGGCAUACAUCCUUUGACGGAGGCGAAGGUUGCGGGUUCGAUCCCCGUCGGUGGUA